GUGGGUGUGCACAGAAGGGUCAGAAAUCCUCGCUUGCCUUCUUCCUCUAAAGGAAAGUCUCUGAGAUGCCUCCCGAGGACAGGGAUGUGGCCUAACAGACAGAAAAGCAGCAUUUAAAGCUUCUGCAGGGCUUCCUGGAACUUUCUCUGAUUACAUGGUCCUGACUGAUCAGGGUUUCUUAACCAGGGGUCAGGGGCCCAGAGGGUAGUCUGGUGUCCAUCUGAGAGUGAGUGGAGUUGGGGGCCGGGGGAAGGAGAGGCGGAUGACACUCAAUAUCUUUCAAGGUCCCACUCUGCCAAAAACAUCAUUGAGCAUCUACUCUGUGCCAAGUAAUGUUCUAUGCAGAUGAAUCGGUUCCCACCAUCCAGCGGUCACAGCCUGCCAGGAAGCAAGAGAAGACGACGAAGACUUGCCUUCAGACCGCAAUUAAGUAGCAGAGAGAACACUUUUCUUCAAGUUAGUCAGUCUUGUCUGUGUGUGGCUUGCUCGUUGGACUUGGGAGAACUGAAAGAUCGUGACACACACACCUGCCUGGGCGAGAGGAGAUUUUUAACGUCACACCUGAAGAACAACAGGGAGGGCCGUCCCAGCUUUAUUCCAACAUACCUUUGUGAUUCUCCCAAGACACGAAUACAGCAGAUCACUUCGUCCACCCUCUUCUUUGGUCUUUCGAAGAAGCUCAGCUUUCCCGGGACGUGGACAGAGGCCCCAGAGACAAUUGAGCUAAUUAAGAACAUUAUUCCUCAUCCCAGAACCAGGCUCCCCCAGAAUAAAAUGAGUCUUGUUCUCCCUGUUGACUAUUUGUAACCUGUUUCAAUAAACGGCAUCUACUCUAUGCCGCA
rnacentral:lncRNA from 1 species